rnacentral:rRNA from 1 species
AUUGGAAGGGGUGUAUUUAUUAGAUAAAAAACCAAUGCCCUUCGGGGCUCCUUGGUGAUUCAUAAUAACUUAACGAAUCGCACGGCCUUGCGCCGGCGAUGGUUCAUUCAAAUUUCUGCCCUAUCAACUUUCGAUGGUAGAGUAGUGGUCUACCAUGGUCUCAACGGGUAACGGGGAAUUAGGGUUCUAUUCCGGAGAGGGAGCCUGAGAAACGGCUACCACAUCCAAGGAAGGCAGCAGGCGCGCAAAUUACCCAAUCCCAAUUCGGGGAGGUAGUGACAAUAAAUACUGAUACAGGGCUCUUUUGGGUCUUGUAAUUGGAAUGAGUACAAUCUAAAUCCCUUAACGAGGAACAAUUGGAGGGCAAGUCUGGUGCCAGCAGCCGCGGUAAUUCCAGCUCCAAUAGCGUAUAUUAAAGUUGUUGCCGUUAAAAAGCUCGUAGUUGAACCUUGGGUCUGGCUGAUCUGUCCUCCUAAUCGAGCGCACGGAUUCGGUCGGACCUUUCCUUCUGGGGAAUCGCAUGCCCUUCACUGGGCGUGUCGGGGAACCAGGACUUUUAC